UACGUAGGUCCCGAGCGUUAUCCGGAAUUAUUGGGCGUAAAGGGCGCGCAGGUGGUUAUGUAAGUCUGAUGUGAAAUUUCUGGGCUCAACCCAAAAAGGUCAUUGGAAACUGCAUAACUUGAGAGCAGGAGAGGUAAGUGGAAUUCCUAGUGUAGCGGUGAAAUGCGUAGAGAUUAGGAGGAACACCAGUGGCGAAGGCGGCUUACUGGACUGCAUCUGACACUGAGGCGCGAAAGCGUGGGUAGCAAACAGG
rnacentral:rRNA from 1 species